AACGAACGCUGGCGGCAUGCCUAACACAUGCAAGUCGAACGAGACCUUCGGGUCUAGUGGCGCACGGGUGCGUAACGCGUGGGAAUCUGCCCUUGGGUUCGGAAUAACAGUGAGAAAUUACUGCUAAUACCGGAUGAUGUCUUCGGACCAAAGAUUUAUCGCCCAGGGAUGAGCCCGCGUAGGAUUAGGUAGUUGGUGGGGUAAUGGCCUACCAAGCCGACGAUCCUUAGCUGGUCUGAGAGGAUGAUCAGCCACACUGGGACUGAGACACGGCCCAGACUCCUACGGGAGGCAGCAGUGGGGAAUAUUGGACAAUGGGCUAAAGCCUGAUCCAGCAAUGCCGCGUGAGUGAUGAAGGCCUUAGGGUUGUAAAGCUCUUUUACCAGGGAUGAUAAUGACAGUACCUGGAGAAUAAGCUCCGGCUAACUCCGUGCCAGCCGCCGCAGUAAAAC
rnacentral:rRNA from 1 species